UCUGUUCCCUCUAAAAAGUGUAGUGGACUCCCUAUAAAGGGGCACAAAGCACCUCUGAACAAAUGCAAACUCUUAAAUUUCAUGAAGUUGUUGUUGCCUUGGCGCAAGCUGCUACAAAGGCCAAUGGUGAGCCUGAAAAUGUAUGUCAAGUGUCAAAAGCAGGACUCUCCCAAGAACAGAGAUUUCCUGGGUGCAUUCUGGGACAAGGCAACAUGUAAAAGAUUUCUGCAUUCGAAGUCAAGUGCCUAAGUCAGAAGCAAAUUCCUCCCUUUAACCAAGAUAGACGAUUAUUUAUGCAUCCACUAAUUAGGUUGAAAUGCUGCAUGCAUAAGAUAGGUGGCAUGAGGAUCUGAACGAGUAUACCAGAUGAAAAAGGACCGAAUCACCUGCAACAAGCCUCUUUGCACUUACACACUCCAUCCAGUUGCAAGAAGAUGUUGCUUGGGCUGAC